rnacentral:rRNA from 1 species
CACCCGCAGCUCGAGUGGUGAUCACUUUUAUUGAGUCUAAAGCGUUCGUAACCGGUCUUAUAAAUCUUCAGAUAAAUUCUUCCGCUUAACGGAAGAACUUCUGAAGAGACUGUAAGACUUGGGACCGGGUGAGGUUGAAUGUACUUUCAGGGUAGGGGUAAAAUCCUGUAAUCCUGAAAGGACGACCGGUGGCGAAAGCGUUCAACUAGAACGGAUCCGACGGUGAGGGACGAAGGCUAGGGGAGCAAACCGG